rnacentral:lncRNA from 1 species
GUCUCAUUGGUCAUUCAAAAUCUUCUUGUUUUAUAUUAUCAUAUUAUAAAUACUAGUACUAAAGGUAUAUCUGAUUGUGAAAUCUUCAUUUCUAUGUAGAAACUUUUCAGCAUCAAUGCAAAUGGAGUUUAUGUUCCCAGUUGAUACUAUACCCUAGAGUUUCCGAUUUUUAAUAAUUGCAGUAUACGGAGAAUGUAUUUAAGGGUCCAAAGGGGUAAAGUUUAUUCUGUACAAAAUUUACAAACCCCAUCACAAAUCAAUAUACCGCUGUGAAUGGCUGUGUCAAAAAAUGAUACUGAUGUGUAACUACUGUCGUCUCCAUAAUCAUUACUUCUGUUCCACGAUUGUGGCAUCUCAAAGAAGUAAUCAUUUUAGCAAUACGACGGUUCCAUCUAUGGCACAGGAUAUGCUAACAUUUUCGGAUCAUGAUUGAUAAGAAUCGUUCUUGAUAUACAUUUUAAAGUUUUAUAUGUAGUGUUUUGUAUCUGUUGUGCCUCUUUUGUCAAUUAAUAUAGAAAAUAUGUCUUGCUAGCACACAAAGCAUUCACAAUUUCAAUUAGCAUGAGUAAUUGUUAACUGUUAGCCACAAAAUCAAAGAAAUAUGAUAAGCAAAUAUCUUCUUCAAAUGUCAGUCAUAACAUUGCAGUGUGUUUAAUAUUAAGAUUGCAUAUAAAUACUUCUUUUACCGUUUAAUAAUGUUCUUGACAUGCAUUUUUACAGGUUCAUUAAUAAAUGGAACUGUCACCGGGUAUUUUUAGCAUAAAGUGUGCUACUUUCGUGGAUAAAUAAAAAGGAAGUACAGUAAAAUACAAAAGACGAAGAAAUGUAAACCGAGAAGAUCCGAGCUGAAGUCAGAGAACUGACAGUAAAGAUAUAACAUACGUUCUAGAGGUAACAAUUUAUGAAAACAAUGUUGGUACAUUAUUAUAUUUUUUCUAUAUUUUUAAGGUCGUUUUCGACAAAAACAUAUAUAACCAGAGCCUCACAAGUUUAAUUUUGCCAUUUACUUUCAUUUUAGGCUGACUUGGUUGAAAGUACGGGGAACUAUUGCCAUCACUAUGCUUUGAUAGUAUAAAUUUGUUCAUUCAAGUUUCAUAUUCAAUUGUUCUUUAAAACAAAUACCUGUUUUUACCCACAGUUGCAUAAAAACAGUUUUAAUCAAAUGUCUCAUUGUUGUUAAUAUUUAAUUGAGAUAAGUCAUUAAAGGCUCUUGAAAGCUACAAUAGUUAUAAGUCAAACAUAAAGAUAUAAAGAUGUUGUUAAUUGCCUAUGAGACAACUUUCCACAAAAGACCACAAUGACAUAUGAUAGUACUAUCUUUGACUAUUGAGUACAUUGUUAGCACAAGUAGAAACAGUCGGACUAAAACUAUAUGUGAAAUAAGCCAAAUUAUAUCGAAAAUGGAGUAUAGUUAGUAGGCAGUAUAAGUCAAAUAAUAAGAAUUGACAACUAUGUUCUAGGCUUUGACGAAGAUGUAACUUACCAACUAGGAGACAUUUCACAUUGGAAACAAAAGAUUGCGGCGGAAAACUUCAAUAUUAUUAUACUUGAUCUUGAAACCACCGGCUUGUGUAUGUAUUCUAUAGAAGAAAUUUCAGUGUAUCUGAGACAUAAUUAAUCAAACAAACUCUACUGGUGUGCACAUCUUCAUUUAUAUAUAAUUACAUUACAUACAAAUAUGUAAUGGAAGAUGUACUGUGGAUUCAUUAUUUAUCAUGGAUGUCAAUCAUCAUGGAUUUCUUUGUAACAUGUGAACCACGAAACUAAAUGCAAAACAAAGCCUUAAACAAUGAGCAAAAUGCAUACCCCAUAGUCAGCUAUAAAAGGCAGCGGAAUUACAAAUGUAAAACAAUCCAAAAAAAGAGCUAACGACCUGAUUUAUGUACAAACCAAUACGUUAAUUUGAUUUUUUGAAGAAGAUAACAAUUUGAAAAUGUAAUAUAGUUACUAGUACAUGUAUUCAAUUUGAUUAAAGGAUUUUUUUUUAUUUCAGUUUGAUUAAAGGAUUUUUUUUUUAUUUCAGCUCGACAUAGGGAUAUUGUACAAAUGACAGCAGUUAUACUGAACAUGAAACUUUAUCAGCUUGUUCGAUGCCAUAAAAGAAGAUAAAAUCAUAAACAUCUAAUAUAAUAAAACUUGCAAGCUUGUGUGGACUAAUGUACCAUGAUGAAGUUACUGUGAAAGGCUCACAUAUCUUAUUCCUUUUAUUUUAAGUUUGUAUCUUAACCAACACUUGUUUGACAAAAUAUUACAACUUUUUCUUGUCAUAUAUUUUAUAACCAAUUGAAUAAAUUGAAAAUGUGGUAUGAGUUUUAAUGAAUUUUUGACAUCAGAAUCUUAUAUCCAGGUCGCCAAAGUCACAAGCAGUGUGAUUUUGUGUCAGAUUGGGGAUCUACAAUGCACAGAAAUGCUUUAUAUGAUUGCAAAUAUUUAUUUAGACAUCUGCGAUCACAUGGAAAUUUAGCUACUGUAAUUUUACAUUUGAUGGAUUGCACCCUAAAGAUUGCUAAAAUGACUUAUAUUUAAAAUUCUUGUUGAAAAUAAAGUAAUGUCAAAACAGCUUCAACUGGCGUGUUCAAGAAACAUUUUAUUUUGUAAAUUCAAAAAAGAGGUAUUAAUGGACUAAGGGCACGUCGUGUCAAAAAAAAAGUCCAGGCAUACUACGUGUUACAACAUUAAAAUCUGCAAUUCUGAGUAUGCUUUUUGUAUUACGAAAAGAAGAGUACGUUGUUUCAGAGUCCAUAUGAUUCAGAUUAUGUUAUAAUAGUAGAAUCUAAAUAAAAAAAGUGGGAUGAUUCUAAAAUAAACCAAUAGACAUUCUCAUUUAAAGACAUACUUGCUUCUGUGGUAUCAAUAAAAAGUAAUUGAUUUUUUCAAAGAAACUUAUUUCUUAGGUGACAGAAAUUUUGACAUUAUUUUUAUAAACUUCAACCAAAAGCCUAUAUCUUUAUAUAUAUAUAUGCGAUUUACUAUAUACUCGCCUAAUUUUCAAUUGACACGUGUUUACAAUAUUUACAUUAGGUGUAUGUUUCACUAUAAUACGUUAUUUUGAUUGGCUAACUGCAAUUCUAUAAUGAAUUGAAACAUUUAUGUUGACACGUGCUUCUACAAAAAAAGUGCACAGGUUUUCAUGAUCAUAGCGAAAAAAUCUUAAUAUAAGUAUUGAGUUGUUCUUUUUAGUAAUUUCAUAGGGAUGAAAAAGCGUUGACCGUGCGCACAUUUAAAAAAAAUAAGGUACCUCGGUCAACGCUUGUACACCCUCAAUGAAUUUAACAAAACAAGCACCCAAUUUUUAAUUGUUAGCACUGUAUUGUGACGGUAUGUCAAUAAAGCAUGUAGUAUCAAUGGUUGAUUGUUAACACAUAAAGACGUUACUCGCGAUGUUCGUACACGUAAGCGUAUCACAACGUCGCGAAAUUUUUCGUUACGUUCAAACCAAAACUUCGACUGAAACGUUGGUUUUUAAGCGUGUGCAACUAAACAGUUUAGACGAAAAUCAUAGUUUAGUGGUUACAAUUAAUGAAAUACAUAUACAUUUUUAUGUAUGUUACGCGGGAAGGUUAAAAAAAAUAGCCGUUUUUUAGCUCACCUGGCCUAAAAGGCCAUGUGAGCUUUUCUCAUCACUUGGCGUCCGUCGUCGUCGUCGUUAACAAUUUUUCAAACAUCUUCUCCUCUGUAACUACUGAAUGGAUUUGAAUGAAACUUAGCAUGAUUGUUCCUUAGAUUAUCCUGCACAAAGUGUGUGCUUCGAUUUUUGAUCCGUCAAAAAACAUGGCCGCCGUUACUUAAAAUAGAACAUAGGGUAGGGGUCAAAUGCAGUUUUUGGCUUAUAUUUCAAAAACGAAAGCAUUUAGAGCAAAUCUGACAUGGGGUAAAAAUGUUCAUUAGGUCAAGAUCUAUCAGCCCUGAAAUUUUCAGAUGAAUCAAACAAACCAUUGUUGGGUUGCUGCCACUUAAUUGGUAAUUUCAAUGAAAUUUUGCAGUUUUUGGUCAUUAUCUUGAAUAUUAUUAUAGAUAAAGAUAAACUGUAAACAGCAAAAAUGAUCAGCAAAGUAAGAUCUACAAAUAAGUUAAAUGACCAAAAUUGUCAAUUGACCCCUUAAGGGGUUAUUGUCCUUUAAUGACAAUUUUUCACAAUUUGUUCAUCAUAUUUGCUAACUUUAAAAAAAUCUUCUCCUCUAAAACUACUCAACCAAAUUCAACCAAACUUCAACUGAAUGAUCAGUAGGGUGUAUAAAAAUAAAAUUUUGUCUAAUUUUAUUUCGUCAAAAAAACAUGGCCGUUCAUGUCUAAAAAUUAGAACACAGGGUAAAAUGCAGUUUUUGGCUUAUAUCUCAAAAACUCCAGCAUUUAGAGCAAAUAAGACAAGAAGUUAAAGUAUUUAUUAGGUCAAGGUCUACCUGUCCUGAAAUUUUCAGCCGAAUUGGGUAACUGGUUUUUCAGGUAUAAUGCUCCUGAAUUGAUGAUUUUAAAGAAAUUUUGCAGUUUUUGGUUAUUAUCUUGAAUAUUAUUAUAGAUACAGAUAAACUGUUAAUAGCAAAAAUGUUAAGAAAGUAAGAUCUACAAAUAAGUCAAUUUGACCAAAAUUGUCAAUUGACCCCUUAAGGAGUUAUUGCCUUUUAAAGACUUUUUUUCACAAUUUGUUCAUUCAUGUUGACUUACUUUUAAAAAAAAUCUUCUCCUUUGAAACUGCUGUAAAAAAAUUUUCAGCCAAAACUAGGCUAAAUGAGUUUCAGAGUAUCUAGUAUUUAAAUUUUAUAUUCAUUUCCUUGUAUGUCAAGAAACAUAGCUCCUAUGGCUAAAAUAGAACAUAGGAGAAAAUGUUUUUUUUUUGCUUUUGAAGAAAAUAGGACGAUUCAAAGAACAUUUAAAUAAAUUGAAAAGCCAAAAUAAUCAUUGAUGAGAUAUUUAACCAAUAAAAUUAAGGUGAGCGAUUCAGGCUCUUGAGAGCUUCUUGUUUUUAAAUGAAACUAAUCGCAUGCAGCAUAAAACAUAGUUUUAACAAUUGUCGUUUUCGUUUUUAUUUAAAAAAAAACAACAACAUUAUUUUGAAUAUUAUUUCACAAAAUUAUAUAUUUUGGACUUGCAUCUUGCCAACUACAACGAUAUUCAAAUGAGGUACGAACAUCGCGCGUAACGUCAAAGCAUUGAUCGUAAUUGAAAGGAACAGUAAACACGUGCAGUCCUUCUGACAGGGGUUUCGAAAGACAACAAUCGAUCCGGGAUAGUACAAAUCCGUUCGACCAAUUUCACCUUUUCCCUUGCUGUUUAAUUUCGUUACCACAAUAUAUUCCCACUGGCCUGAUAGCAUGCAAUGACAUAUGAUACGAUUAUUAUACGGUCAACUUUAAUUGGAAGUGUAAUAUUUUCGUUGCGUGAGUUUAGGGAAGUUUAGGAUGUACAAUGUUUUUGUAUUUUUUUUUUUAGUUUAGUAACUCUUCAAAAACAACUAAUUGAGAUCGAGAAAGAAAGACUUGCUAUUGAAAGGGAAAGGCUGAGGAUAGAGCGCCGACGUCUAGAAAUUGAAGAAAACAGACACGUCUCUUACCAAACACCAGCCCAGUGCAAUAACCAGACACAGAACCAGAU